GGUCUAUUAGUCUAGUUGGUUAGGACGUCGGAUUCUGACUUAUCAAUCAUAUCCUUCCGUAGGCCCAGGUUCGAAUCCUGGAUGGACCU